UGCGUAGGCGGACUAAUAAGUCAGUGGUGAAUUCUCUCGGCUCAACCGGGAAACUGCCAUUGAUACUGUUAGUCUUGAGUUCGGUUGAGGUAGGCGGAAUGUGUAAUGUAGCGGUGAAAUGCUUAGAUAUUACACAGAACACCCAUUGCGUAGGCAGCUUACUAGACCGACACUGACGCUGAGGCACGAAAGCGUGGGUAGCGAACAGGAUUAGAUACCCUGGUAGUCC
rnacentral:rRNA from 1 species